rnacentral:ncRNA from 1 species
GUACGAUAAAGGCAAAACCAUUGAAAAGUGGUGACGCAAAGCUAUAGGGACUAAAUUGGCAUUAUCCAAUGCUCAAAAUGUCAGCCAGCUACCGGU